AGAGUUUGAUUCUGGCUCAGGACGAACGCUGGCGGCGUGCUUAAGACAUGCAAGUCGAACGAAUGUAGAAAUACAUUAGUGGCGGACUGGUGAGUAACGUGUGAGCAAUCUGCCUCUAACUGGGGGAUAACACUUAGAAAUAGGUGCUAAUACCGCAUAAGACCACAUGAAGGCAUCUUCGAGGGGUCAAAGAUUUAUCGGUUAGAGAUGAGCUCGCAUCCCAUUAGCUAGUUGGUGAGGUAACGGCCCACCAAGGCGACGAUGGGUAGCCGACCUGAGAGGGUGAUCGGCCACACUGGGACUGAGAUACGGCCCAGACUCCUACGGGAGGCAGCAGUCGGGAAUAUUGGGCAAUGGAGGAAACUCUGACCCAGCAACGCCGCGUGAAGGAAUAGAAGGUCUUCGGAUUGUAAACUUCUGUCGCGAGGGACGAAGAAUGACGGUACCUCGUAAGAAAGCCCCGGCUAACUACGUGCCAGCAGCCGCGGUAAUACGUAGGGGGCAAGCGUUGUCCGGAAUGACUGGGCGUAAAGGGAGUGUAGGUGGCAUAAUAAGUUAUAUGUGAAAGCCCGUGGCUUAACUGCGGAACUGCAUAUAAAACUGUUAAGCUUGAGUGCAGGAGAGGUAAGCGGAAUUCCUAGUGUAGCGGUGGAAUGCGUAGAUAUUAGGAAGAACACCAGAGGCGAAGGCGGCUUACUGGACUGUAACUGACACUGAGGCUCGAAAGCGUGGGGAGCAAACAGGAUUAGAUACCCUGGUAGUCCACGC
rnacentral:rRNA from 1 species